UUCCCAUCAUGGCCUGGGCCCCUCUGCUCCUCGCGCUGCUCACUUACUGCUCAGGGGUCAGUUCGCAGCCCGUGGUGACUCAGGAGCCCUCGAUGUCGGUGACUCCAGGAGGGGCUGUCACUCUGUCCUGCAGCCUGAGCACUGGAGCCGUCACCACCAGCAACUAUCCAGCCUGGUACCAGCAGAAACCAGGCUCUGCUCCUCGGCAGCUUAUAUACAGCACCAAUACCAGACCCUCCGGGAUCCCUGCCCGGUUCUCUGGGUCCAUAUCCGGUAACAACGCUGCCCUGACCAUCACCGGUGUCCAGGCAGAGGAUGAGGCUGACUAUUACUGUGCUGUGUGGUAUGUCAGUGGCACUGUGACUCACAAAGUAGGACCUGAUGGCCCAGCUGCCGUAGGUCGUCAAGACCAGUGCUGCUGA